rnacentral:misc_RNA from 1 species
UCCGGCUUAUCACCGGCAGUCUGCUCAGGGUUCCAAACUAAAUGUUGGCAACUAAACACGAGGGUUGCGCUCGUUGCGGGACUUAACCCAACACCUUACGGCACGAGCUGACGACAGCCAUGCAGCACCUGUCUCAAUGUUCCCGAAGGCACCAACCCAUCUCUGGGAAGUUCAUUGGAUGUCAAGGCCUGGUAAGGUUCUUCGCGUUGCUUCGAAUUAAACCACAUGCUCCGCUGCUUGUGCGGGUCCCCGUCAAUUCCUUUGAGUUUUAAUCUUGCGAUCGUACUCCCCAGGCGGAAUGCUUAAUGCGUUAGCUGCGCCACCGAAGAGCAAGCUCUCCAACGGCUGGCAUUCAUCGUUUACGGCGUGGACUAC